CGGGUCAGAACCAGAGAGAGAACCGGGUCAGAACCAGAGAGAGAACGGGUCAGAACCAGAGAGAGAACGGGUCAGAACAGGUCCAGAGGCUGCACGAACACCGUGGCCCCCAUGCUGCGGAGAACGGGUCAGAACCAGAGAGAGAACCGGGUCAGAACCAGAGAGAGAACCAGGUCAGAACCAGAGAGAGAACCGGGUCAGAACCAGAGAGAGAACGGGUCAGAACAGGUCCAGAGGCUGCACGAACACCGUGGCCCCCAUGCUGCGGAGAACGGGUCAGAACCGGGUCAGAACCAGAGAGAGAACCGGGUCAGAACCAGAGAGAGAACCGGGUCAGAACCAGAGAGAGAACCAGACAGAGAACCAGGUCAGAACAGGUCCAGAGGCUGCACGAACACCGUGGCCCCCAUGCUGCGGAGAACGGGUCAGAACCGGGUCAGAACCAGAGAGAGAACGGGUCAGAACCGGGUCAG